AUUGAACGCUGGCGGCAUGCUUUACACAUGCAAGUCGAACGGUAACAGGCCGCAAGGUGCUGACGAGUGGCGAACGGGUGAGUAAUGCAUCGGAACGUGCCCAGUCGUGGGGGAUAACGCAGCGAAAGCUGUGCUAAUACCGCAUACGAUCUAUGGAUGAAAGCGGGGGACCGUAAGGCCUCGCGCGAUUGGAGCGGCCGAUGUCAGAUUAGGUAGUUGGUGGGGUAAAGGCCCACCAAGCCGACGAUCUGUAGCUGGUCUGAGAGGACGACCAGCCACACUGGGACUGAGACACGGCCCAGACUCCUACGGGAGGCAGCAGUGGGGAAUUUUGGACAAUGGGCGCAAGCCUGAUUCAGCAAUGCCGCGUGCAGGAAGAAGGCCUUCGGGUUGUAAACUGCUUUUGUACGGAACGAAACGGUCUGGGUUAAUACCCUGGGCUAAUGACGGUACCGUAAGAAUAAGCACCGGCUAACUACGUGCCAGCCGCCGCGGUAAAAC
rnacentral:rRNA from 1 species